GAUGAACGCUGGCGGCGUGCCUAAUACAUGCAAGUCGAGCGAACGGACGAGAAGCUUGCUUCUCUGAUGUUAGCGGCGGACGGGUGAGUAACACGUGGAUAACCUACCUAUAAGACUGGGAUAACUUCGGGAAACCGGAGCUAAUACCGGAUAAUAUUUUGAACCGCAUGGUUCAAAAGUGAAAGACGGUCCUGCUGUAACUUAUAGAUGGAUCCGCGCUGCAUUAGCUAGUUGGUAAGGUAACGGCUUACCAAGGCAACGAUGCAUAGCCGACCUGAGAGGGGGAUCGGCCACACUGGAACUGAGACACGGUCCAGACUCCUACGGGAGGCAGCAGUAGGGAAUCUUCCGCAAUGGGCGAAAGCCUGACGGAGCAACGCCGCGUGAGUGAUGAAGGUCUUCGGAUCGUAAAACUCUGUUAUUAGGGAAGAACAUAUGUGUAAGUAACUGUGCACAUCUUGACGGUACCUAAUCAGAAAGCCACGGCUAACUACGU
rnacentral:rRNA from 1 species